rnacentral:lncRNA from 10 species
CUUUCUUCAUAUCCCACAGGAAAGCUGGUUCCUGUUCUAUUGUCUCUCUCUUUUGCCUGUGGUGUUACAUGCUCUUCUCUUGCAAAUGACACUUUAUGCUGCUUUUACAACAUCUUUCCAUUAUAUUCCACUCACAUUGGUACUUAUUGUUGGAAUCAAGUUUAGUUUUUCCUCUCAGGAGGGCUUUCAACCUGACUUCUCAGAAUCUAUGUAUGAGUUGGCUCAUAGAUUUGGCAUCAAUGACAAGGCUUAACUUAUCUGUCCUAGAGGCACAAAAUGCCACCUGAGUUCACAUGGGAAAGACACCGUGGUAGUCAGGAGGCAGAAGACAGGAGCUAGGGGAAGAGUUAGGCCACUGCCUU